GGAAUACCAUCAGAACACCAAUAACAGCAACCAGUGGAGACCACUUUCCCCAUGUUUUGCUUCUAAGGCUUUCAGAAAAGUUACAUGAUACCAUUUGGAGGGGAAAAUAUUAUCAGGUACAUAAUUGGCAGCUGGACAUGUGUCAGUCGUUGCCUGUAAAUCUAAUUACUGAGAAUUAGAGCAUGCCACUACAUGACCACAGGGAUAAGAAAACCACUACGACUCGGCUCUGAUUAGAAAUUCAACUUUUUAAUUUCUCCUCACUCCUGAAUGGGUGGAUUAGGUAUUAUAUUAACUGUGAAAAUGUACACCCUGUCCGGGUGCCCAGGCUAUCCCAUACCAAGCGAGGAAAGGUCGUUUGUUAAGACAUGAAACAGCUGAAGGUAAAACACCCUGCCUAGACGUCAAGAGAAUUAACUUUAAAGUCAAUUAUUAGGAUCAAAAUAGGUGAAUACCACCAUUAGCUGUGUAUUUACUUGAAAUAAUAAUCAUAAUAAUGUGCUUAAAGAGCUAUCUAAAACAACACUGCACAAAACAAACAGAUUUCGACGAUAAGAAUACUUUAAAACCUCCAUUGUCACAAAAGCAUUCCAAAAAUUAUGACCAAACCUAAGAUUCUCUUGAUAUCGAGGAUGUUAUUGGAGUUGACCAGUUUCUCCAAAGUACGUCAUUUUGGGGAGUUGGAUCCACUUAAAGAUAUAAAAUAUGGCAACCAUGAAGGUUUUAAAACAGUGAAGAUCUGUACCCCUCCAAACUUAAAAGCUGUCAUUUUAGAAACCCAGGCAACCUUAUUAACUUGUUUUCCCCACCUCUGUGGAUACCAACCUGCAGCGCAGUUCUCCCAAAUCCAUUUUGAGCGUUGACGUUUACAUUAUUUUGCAACAAACUAGUAAGUUGCUCUAGGUCCCCCCUGGCAGCUGCGGACGCCAACUCGUUCCCCCAAGGCUCGGCCAUUCUUUAGGGUCCUGACGAUCGGGAAAAGACGAUUAGUUGCUUCUCUUUUUCCCCUUUCCUUUGCUCCUAAUCAGGCUGCAUGAUGGCAUCGGAGGCUGACAGAAGGACUGGGAUGGUUAAUCUGGAGUAGAGCUUGGUAGUAAAUACUAGUAAGGUCGGCCUGCCAAAAGCCCGCCCCUCGAUUCACACGUGAUUAUUCAGCAAAAGUGAGCCCAUUGGAGAGGGGCUCCUUCUCUAGCUUUUUAGCUUAACCCCUAAGAAGGAUUCUGGCGAUUCAACAGAGAUACAUACACAGAAGCAGUUCUUGAUUAAUUACUAUGGACGUGAGAUGUAGGCAGAGCUGUCACGUACCUAAGCUUUACAGCUCUGUGAGGAAGAUGUUGCGGAGACUUAAAGGACUAGGUCAGCUCAGACAACACCGCGAAAGAAAAAGUAUUAGAGAGUAGAAAAGGUAUUAACCCACCCUUGUUCACAGUGGUGAUUUGAGGCAGAAUUUCAGAGUCAGGUCCUUCGCAGAGCUCACUUUCCAUCCGUCUAGCCGAAGGGGGUAGUCCAGAGUGCUGCUCGCUCGCUAGCAGAGCGCCGCGCUGGCUGGAUGCUGACGUGCUCGGGAGGGUUAAAGACGAUCGCUGAGGGCAGACCAGAGCAGCAGCUCUGAAGCCCUCAACUCUCAGGUCUCAACGACUCCCUAGCGGGCUCGGCGUCUUCAGAAGAGCCUCCGGAGCCCGCCCGCCGAGCUGCCGCAGCCCCGCCGAGCCUCAGAGGCCGUGGGAGCCGGGCAGGGCGCGGGUCUCCGGAGGCUGGUGGGUGUGCGGCAGACCCCCGCCAAGCCCGUCAUGCCGGCCCCGCCGGGUCCCGGGACUCCCGGCAGCCUGAAGACGGUGCACGGCGAAGGGGGAAGCGUCUAUGGGGCUCCAGCCGCUGGGGUAGCUCGCGGCAGCAUCGCUCUUGCACCCGGCCAGCUCACCAGUAACUUCCCGCCUACGACCGAGCUAGCUCAGGCUCUUCACUGCAAGCGCUCGCUGAGGGGCGGCCGUCGCCUCUGCCGCUGUCGUUCCCUCCCUUUCAGAUUUUCCCGGGGCGUCCGAUGAUGGGAAGGGUCUUUGGAAGUAGGAGCGGUCGCCACAGAUCCCGGGCGCAGCCAGUCCCGCCAACUUCUUGGCGGCCGCCCAGCAGCUCGGGCGCUCGGUGCCACUUGGCCAGUUAGUUCUUGGCGGUCCUCCGGCCUGUGCCCCUAUCAGUGCCGCGGACAGGACAGCGGCUGCCAGCCAGUUGGGUUCCGGAGCCGAGGCAGGCUGCGCCGGCCGGUCGCGAGCCGCAGCUGACAGUUUCUUUUGUAGUCCGACUCCCCCAAAUCUCUGAUCGCCGCUCCCUUCUCCGCUACAGACACUUGCGCGUCUUUCCUUUAGGAUCUUUCCCUUCCCUCCCUCCUUUGCUUCUUUUUCCGCUGAAGCAACUGCUGCUACGGUUGCCUCUGAAGGCUGCAAUACAACUAACUCAACAAUGGCCAGCUGUGAAUAAGAAGCUGAAG
rnacentral:lncRNA from 1 species